GGUCGGCUGGGGAGGCAAAUGUUGGGAGAAGCAGAAAGCUGGAGGGGGACCUUGUGCAGGGGCCUUCGAGGCCAUAGACUUGAGGUGAUUGUCAGCUUGUUCAGUUCUUGAUAGAAUCCUUCUGAUCCCUUAGGAUUUUGGAAGAGCGGUCUGAGAGACGACUGCUACCCUGGCCUUAGCAGCCUUCCCUGGUACCUCUUCCCAUCGCUGGCCGGCCUCACACCGAAUCUGGCCUCUCUUUGGACCUUCCUCCUCCUUUUUUUUGAUUCAGAGAAAUGUAUAUUCUGGGGCCUUGAUGCUGCGUUUUUCGGGGAGAUGGCUUCUUGGGGCUGGCAGAGGUUGAGGCGGUAUGGCCGCUGUCAUGUCGUCCAGACCAUUCAGACUGUCUUCUGUGGGUCCUUGUGUUUCGGGUAUUUUCUCUGCCACCAACUCUGAUGGCACAUAGGCGGAAUGUGCUCAUAUCGUGGGUCAGGAUGUCUAGAGUAGUGAUGUUUGCAGGAAUCUGAAUUUUGUCGAAAUUUAUAUAGAAUGCUUAGGUUCACUCCAAGUUAAAAUGUGUGAUGUGCCUGUUCUGCAAGCAGUUGUCAACAGUAUUAAGCAUAGGUAUCGUCAGAUCCUGGAAAAAGCCAUUCAGUUAUCUGGAGCAGAACAACUAGAAGCUUUGAAAGCUUUUGUGGAAGCAAUGGUAAAUGAGAAUGUCAGUCUCGUGAUCUCGCGGCAGUUGCUGACUGAUUUUUGCACACAUCUUCCUAACUUGCCUGAUAGCACAGCCAAAGAAAUCUAUCACUUCACCUUGGAAAAGAUCCAGCCUAGAGUCAUUUCAUU
rnacentral:sRNA from 1 species